rnacentral:tRNA from 2 species
UAGGGAGACCUACCCAUUGAAGAAUCGAAAGCCGCAGGCGAAUAGAGAAUCAACUGGUCUACUCUAGGUCGGUGACGUGAGAUUGUGAAGUCUUUCAAACUAAUAUUUGGUUCGCGAGAGGGCUAUUAGCUCAGGUGGUUAGAGCGCACCCCUGAUAAGGGUGAGGUCCCUGGUUCGAGUCCAGGAUGGCCCACCUGAAUGGGGGUUUAGCUCAGCUGGUAGAGCGCCUGCUUUGCAAGCAGGAUGUCAGCGGUUCGAGUCCGCUAACCUCCACAUUAGGAAGAAACUAGCAACUAGGAAAGACCUAGACUGCUGGUGGAAACCAGCCAGAACCUUGAAAACUGCAUAUAGAUAGAUAAGAGAGCCGAAAUCGAAAGAUAGAAGCAAGUGAAGAACCAAGU